rnacentral:lncRNA from 1 species
UUCUUAGUUUAAAAAUUUGAGGAUUUCUAUUAUUUUACAUUAGUAAAUGAUUUCAUUUAACGAUCUCAACCAUUGAUUCUCUAGAUUUAUAUGCAAGAAACAUAUUUACAAUGUCAAGACCCACCCUGAAUUUCACCCUGAAACCCGAAGUAAAUCCCGCGGGGACCACCUCCAAGGAAAAUUUACCGAAAAUUCGGCAUAACCUCCCUUGAAAAUGGACAACCCUUCCUGAAUAAAACACCUGCAAGCACUUCUAAAAGUUCCAACUCCAACCUUAUAAACUCCUAGAGCCUUCGUGCUCCCCACAAUCACAACAUCUCCCAAUAUAGAUUCACUAAUCUAACAAAGAUCCUAAACCAACAACCACAUAUUCAGAGCAACUUUACUUGAGAGGAGAGGAACUAGAAAUAAAUAGAAAUGAGCGGAAGCUAUACUAUUGAUUAUGCAUCUUUUCCAUGUACGCUCGGCCUCAACUAUGCUAACCUGCAACUGGGCAUUUUAAAACGAAGAGCCCAAGGGAAAACAUUUAAAAACGUUAGAGUGAGUGGACACAAAUGAAUUUAUUAAAAAUAUUUAUGCAUUCCCAUUUUUAAUUUCCAUAGAAAUUAUGCUGCAUUUAACAAGCUCAAAAGCUCUCAUCUCAUAAACUGACAAUAACACGACUAGCUCCGGCUAGUCUCCAAAGGUUUAUAAAAUAGAGCCUCUCAGGCUAAAAUAUAUGUAUGUAUUUACACAUGUCCAUACUUCCUAUAUAAAUUUAUGCGUCUAUAUAGGGUUAUUACGCUCGUGUCCAACGUUCACGUCACGCCUUAAUGCGGUGCUACACUACGCCAUUAAGGUGGACAGACGAGUGUAUAAAUAUGUGUCCAUACCCCCUAUAUGAAUUAAGCACUCAUAUAGGGCUACUACGCUCACGUCCAACGCUCACGUCACACCAUAAUGCGGCUAUAUGCUACGCCAUUAAGGUGGAUAGACACAUAUGGCUAGCUAGCAUUUAUAUACAUACUCUCCUCAUCAAUAUAUAAUUAUAUUCACCGAAAAUCUCAUUUUCGGUAACUCUUCAAAAAAAAAAUAUUGUCAAAAUAAAAUGACGUCAAAUGCUCCAACACAAUAAAUUGCUCAAAAAUCAAUCAUUGCAUGCAUAUUAUUUAAAACAAAAGUCCACUCACAACUUUAGGCAUAAGCCCGACGAAAUCCAAAUCGCUACUCUAGUGAGGUUUCCUCGAACCCUGACACAAAUAUAUAAUUAAUUUCCCAACUAAAAAUCCAAUAUUAAACAAAAUAGGCAAAAUUAACCGAGAGCCAUACUCACGCUCAUCAUUGCCUAACUUCAAUAUUCUUCACUCGAAACGACCCAAACUUUAAUACCAUACUCGGCAGCCGUAAAUACAACCUCCACAGAACAAUGACUUAAAUCUUACGGCCGGAUUCUACAUUAUUCAACCGCCAAAAAUACCACACUUCAGAAAUUGAUAACCCUAUCCAAAACUCAUCCAAAAAAUCCAUAAUUCACUUCAAUAAACUCCCCUUAAUAUUUCAAAUUUAAAAACAUUAAAAUCUCCCAACCGGCGCCAGCGGCGGCCGGAGGCCGAUUCCGGCGACCUCCAAUGCCCACCAAAUUUUAACAGCAUCUUCCUCUCAACUCCCUCUACAACAUUCCUAACUAGCACAAACACCAAUUCCAAGCCUAACUAGGUCAAUCGAGUAAAACAACACAAAAAGCCCUAGAGCUUCCACUCACCGGUUCUCCUUACCUGAAGCAAACUGGACCGAGUCCUUCUAAGGCAAGGCAACUGGGUUGGAGACCUUCAAAACCAUAUAAGGCUUGCCCGGAUUGGUGGCCGGAGGAGGAAGUUCCGACGACCGGAAGUUCUAGGCAAUCGAACCUCUCGGGCGGCAACGCUCUCUCACGGCGGCGCUAAGGAUCCUCUCACCGGUCCAGGAAGAAGGUUGGGUCGACGGCCGUCCGUUUGGGACCGGCGCGGCGGUCAGAGGCGACCGGACGGCGACGAACGGCCAGGAAGAAAAUCCGGCGGAGGGAGAGGGAGAGAGAAUCGGGAGGGAGGAGAGAGAAGAGAGAGAAGAGAAAUGAUUUGGGCUUUUCCCCAAUCGGUCCAACACCAUCACUUAAAACCCAACUCUAAAAUUUAACACCCUAAAAUAAUACCCUAAUAAAAAUUAUCUUUUACUAGCUAAAAGUUACCAUUUUUACCGUCGUCAUAUUUUUCUCCUACGAAUAAUUCUCCGUAAAUAACCGUCCCCCAAACCCCUCUAGGGACCAAUUAAACUAUAACCUUAAUGACGGAGACGGUAAAAUUCUUAUUAUAAUCAAGCUAGUAAAUAAGGUAAAAAUUUAAGGGUCGGGAUGUAACAUACAAAAUUUCAACUAAUUCCAUAAUCAUAUGAUCAUUCAAAUUGACAUAAACAAUUGUAGACCGUUAAAUAAAAUUAAAACGAAUAUUGUGCUAAUCAAGUGGCCGGUUAAACGUUUUUCAAUUUGUCUAAUUUUUUGUAGGAUUCAUAUGGGUGUAAAUAACUAGGAAAUAAGUGGUUUUGAUUGUCAAAAUACAUACUAGAACUAAAAAUAUUCUUACUUUAAGAGUUUAAGAAGGUCCUCUCUAGAUUCGGACUACAUAUAUAUAUAUAUAUAUUAUUUUUUUUUUUUGUUUUUUUUUGUUUUGUUUUGUUUUACUUACAAUUAAGUAGAACUGAAUGAGUGUGUUAUAUGGGAGAGAUAGAUAGUACACUUGCAUGAAGCCAAGAACUGAUCGAAGAAGUAGAAAACAAAAUAUAUCAUAUGGUCAUGUGAGAUCAUUAGAGGGCAACAAAAGUAGAGUACCUCAGUACCUGUCCUUGAGAAGACCAUAUUUAGAACGACCAAUACCUACGUACGUACGUACGCGUACAAUCCAUUCUAGCUAAAAGAAUAUCCCUAUAGCUAUCUUUUUUUUUUUUUGGCUGAAACGAGGAGUAAGGGAGGCCAAUCCGGCCUCCUUGCCGCCUCAAAAUUUAUCUCUUAUAAUAGCUAUCUUCAAACAGAAUCACAUUGUUUGAACUAUAUAUAGCCACAUGAGCAACGAAUUAUGGGUUAGCACGACAAAAUACUCUACGUCAAACAAUAUGAUUCUUAUACAUACGUAUUUGACUACUUUGGUUUGGUAUCAUUUUAGAUUCACAAAUUAAACCUCCCGAUCGAUUAUGCUAACCUGGAUAUGAGAUGUGAAGAACUCGAUCAACUGAUCUAAUGCUCACUCUCCGUUCGAUCACGUAUUGUCACUAUCUUUCUCCAUAACCCGAUCGAUCAAUCUAGCUAGCUACUAGUGUAGUACACACACUAGAAUAUAUAUAGGCGAUCAAUCUUAGCUCCAAAGACUAACAAAU